GCCAUAUCAAUAAGCGGAGGAAAAGAAACCAACAGGGAUUGCCCCAGUAACGGCGAAGUGAAGCGGCAAGAAGCUCAAAUUUGAAAGCUGGCCCCCUCGGGGUCCGCAUUGUAAUUUGCAGAGGAUGCUUCGGGAGCGGUCCCCAUCUAAGUGCCCUGGAACGGGCCGUCAUAGAGGGUGAGAAUCCCGUAUGGGAUGGGGUGCCCGCGCCCGUGUGAAGCUCCUUCGACGAGUCGAGUUGUUUGGGAAUGCAGCUCUAAAUGGGUGGUAAAUUUCAUCUAAAGCUAAAUAUUGGCCGGAGACCGAUAGCGCACAAGUAGAGUGAUCGAAAGAUGAAAAGCACUUUGAAAAGAGAGUUAAACAGCACGUGAAAUUGUUGAAAGGGAAGCGCUUGCGACCAGACUCGCCCGCGGGGUUCAGCCGGCAUUCGUGCCGGUGUACUUCUCCGCGGGCGGGCCAGCGUCGGUUUGGGCGGCCGGUCAAAGGCCCCUGGAAUGUAACGCCUCUCGGGGCGUCUUAUAGCCAGGGGUGCCAUGCGGCCUGCCCGGACCGAGGAACGCGCUUCGGCUCGGACGCUGGCAUAAUGGUCGUAAGCGACCCGUCUUGAAACACGGACCAAGGAGUCUAACAUCUACGCGAGUGUUCGGGUGUCAAACCCGUGCGCGCAGUGAAAGCGAACGGAGGUGGGAACCCUUUGGGUGCACCAUCGACCGAUCCUGAUGUCUUCGGAUGGAUUUGAGUAAGAGCGUAGCUGUUGGGACCCGAAAGAUGGUGAACUAUGCCUGAAUAGGGCGAAGCCAGAGGAAACUCUGGUGGAGGCUCGCAGCGGUUUCUGACGUGCAAAUCGAUCGUCAAAUUUGGGUAUAGGGGGCGAAAGACUAAUCGAACCAUCUAGUAGCUGGUUCUGCGAU
rnacentral:rRNA from 1 species